GACAGGCGUAGGCGAUGGAUAACAGGUUGAUAUUCCUGUACCACCUAGCAUCGUUUUAAUCGAUGGGGGGACGCAGUAGGAUAGGCGAAGCGUACGAUUGGAUUGUACGUCUAAGCAGUGAGAUUGAGUGUUAGGCAAAUCCGGCACUCUUAAGAUUGAGCUGUGAUGGGGAGAGGAAAUUGUUUCCUCGAGUCGUUGAUUUCACACUGCCGAGAAAAGCCUC
rnacentral:rRNA from 1 species